rnacentral:rRNA from 1 species
UGGGGAAUAUUGGACAAUGGGCGCAAGCCUGAUCCAGCAAUACCGCGUGUGUGAAGAAGGCCUGAGGGUUGUAAAGCACUUUCAGCGAGGAGGAAGUGAACAUGGUUAAUACCCAUGUUCAUUGACGUUACUCGCAGAAGAAGCACCGGCUAACUCUGUGCCAGCAGCCGCGGUAAUACAGAGGGUGCAAGCGUUAAUCGGAAUUACUGGGCGUAAAGCGUGCGUAGGCGGAUAUUUAAGUCAGAUGUGAAAUCCCUGGGCUUAACCUAGGAAUUGCAUCUGAUACUGGAUGUCUAGAGUAUGGUAGAGGAUGGCGGAAUUUCCGGUGUAGCGGUGAAAUGCGUAGAUAUCGGAAGGAACACCAGUGGCGAAGGCGGCCAUCUGGGCCAAUACUGACGCU